AUCUCAUGGUAAGGGCAUUUCAUGAGCCUUUCUUUGAAUCUUUUCAAAGCUUCAUACCACAAUUCUUUAUGAAAUUGGCGAAAAUUAAUGAUUUCAUCCUGCAAUU
rfam:Capsicum annuum cultivar Zunla-1 chromosome 6, whole genome shotgun sequence